UGGCUGGUUUACUAGUCCGAAUUGUAGUUUAAAGAAGCGUUUUCGGUGGCAGCCUGGGUAUAAAUCCUUUGGAAUAGGGUAUCAUAGAGGGUGAGAAUCCCGUCUUUGACUCAGUGAAUGCUACUAUGUGAUACGUUUUCAAAGAGUCGAGUUGUUUGGGAAUGCAGCUCAAAAUGGGUGGUAAAUUUCAUCUAAAGCUAAAUAUUGGCGAGAGACCGAUAGCGAACAAGUACCGUGAGGGAAAGAUGAAAAGAACUUUGAAAAGAGAGUUAAACAGUACGUGAAAUUGUUGAAAGGGAAACGUUUGACACCAGUCAUGCGGGUGGAAAAUCAGUCUUUUAGAGUAGGGAGUGGUGGGGGUUCGGACCGCAAGGCUGGCCUUUAUCUCAUCUCUGCGCUAAUGGAUGCACUUUUUCAUUUGCAGGUCAACAUCAGUUUCUUCUGCUGGACAAAACUCCGAGAGAAGGUAGCAGCUUAGGCUGUGUUAUAGCUCUGGAGCGAUACAGUGGAGGGGACUGAGGUUUUCGCAGUGUGUGCUUUCGGGCAAGGUUGAUUGGGUGCUAUGUGAUCGUUCGGUGUACAAUGCAUGCAUUUUGCGCUGUGUCUUUUGCAUACUCGCCUGACUCGACUCUUCCACGCUUAGGAUGUUGACUUAAUGGUUUUAAACGACCCGUCUUGAAACACGGACCAAGGAGUCUAACAUAUAUGCAAGUGUUUGGGUGGCAAACCCAUACGCGUAAUGAAAGUGAACGUAGGUGCGAUCCGCAAGGUGCAGCAUCGACCGAUCUUGAUAUUUUUGGAUAGAUUUGAGUAAGAGCAUAUAUGCUGGGACCCGAAA
rnacentral:rRNA from 1 species